CGUGGUCUGUUAGAAAUCAAACAUUCUUCAAUCCAUGAGAAACUUUCCUUCUUGUUGGUUAGGGUGUUUGAUACUAACAAAUCAGAACUAGUUAUCCCCUUUAGAGGUUCCAUCAAGGUUGACUCACAUGCUGCCUUUAGAGUCUUUGGCAUUUCAAUGGGUAAUAAGGGUGUUAAGUAUAAGAAGGAAAACGGCGGCAUCAGUUUCUUUGAGUCCUAUAAACUGUUGGCCGUGAAAAUAAUCAAAAGGCACCAACAUUCGAAGAAGCUAAAAGGUUGUUGCUUGAGGAUUAUAAGGGAACGUUUGAUCACAAGUGGUUGCAGAUUUGGCUUUUAUUUGCCAUCAGUUCUCUGCUUUGUCCAACUUCUUCUACUAGUCUUUGCGUCCUCAGAUUCCAUGCAAUCUUUAAAGUUAAUGAAAUAGAAGAAUACAACUGGUGCCAACUGGUGGUGGAUAGAUUGGUUAAUGGGAUUCAGGACUUUAAGACUGGAAAGAAGAAAUCUAUUUGUGGUUGCCUUUUUCCCUCACAGAAGAAUCUGGAAUUAUCUAUGAUGAGAAGCAAUUAGAGAGGGAGAAAGGUUCUUUUCUGAAUGCUGUUGAUGUACCUGGAUCAUCACAAGCAAGAAGAUAUGACUGUGAACUCAAGAACAAGCACAGAGAUUUAUCGCAUUUAACUACAGUCCCACCACUACAUGAGUUGCUUCAAUCCCACUCUAAAGAAGAUUAUCCAAAUUAUCUUCUUGAAGCAAAUGUUAUUCUUCAAUCACCUCUCAAGUCAAGAGUAAAACAAAUAAUUCACAAAAUUGUUGAUGAUGAGGAGUGUCUAGCCUCUCACAAUGGUAAUUUGGAAUUAUGUUUGCCAUCAAAAGAGGUAUUGGAGUGUGAUCUGCUUGGACCUUUGUUUCAAACAAAUGUUUCAGCCGCAGACAAAUCUUCAGAUGCAGAAGGCCUUGUCACUGCCAAAAGACCAGCAACUAAUGUUUAUGUUAGAAGGCCCAAAGACAACACAACACUCUAGCAAGCUACUCAUGAUAAAACUGAUGUUAAAGACAACAUGUACUUGGCCAAUUUAGUUGUACUUUCAGCUUGUAAUUUUAGUCUUAUAAUUUUAUUAUUUAAUUUUAGUUUGCAAUUUUAUUUUUAAUUUCA